rnacentral:rRNA from 1 species
AUGAACGCUGGCGGCAGGCCUAACACAUGCAAGUCGAACGGUAACAGGAAGAAGCUUGCUUCUUUGCUGACGAGUGGCGGACGGGUGAGUAAUGUCUGGGAAACUGCCUGAUGGAGGGGGAUAACUACUGGAAACGGUAGCUAAUACCGCAUAACGUCGCAAGACCAAAGAGGGGGACCUUCGGGCCUCUUGCCAUCGGAUGUGCCCAGAUGGGAUUAGCUUGUUGGUGGGGUAACGGCUCACCAAGGCGACGAUCCCUAGCUGGUCUGAGAGGAUGACCAGCCACACUGGAACUGAGACACGGUCCAGACUCCUACGGGAGGCAGCAGUGGGGAAUAUUGCACAAUGGGCGCAAGCCUGAUGCAGCCAUGCCGCGUGUAUGAAGAAGGCCUUCGGGUUGUAAAGUACUUUCAGCGGGGAGGA